rnacentral:rRNA from 1 species
UGGUGGGUUGCCUUGUCAGGUUGAUUCCGGUAACGAACGAGACCUUAGCCUGCUAAAUAGUUGCUGCCUCUUCCGAGGCAUGCAUACUUCUUAGAGGGACUAUUGACAUUUUAAGUCAUUGGAAGUUUGAGGCAAUAACA